CAUUAAGACUGCAGCAUGUAUGAAGCUGAGACCUGGAUUUCAUUUUCUUUUGGUUCCAGUUUGUGAGUAACAAACACUUUACAGGUGUUUUGGUUUCAGUUUUCACAAAGAAAUGGCUUCUGGAUUCUUUAUGAGCAUGCUAAUGCUCUCUCUGACCUCUGGGCCUUUUGCAUCAGGAAAUGUCUUCAGACAUGGAGGUAAAAAUGUUGAACCUCAUUCAGCUGAAGCUCUGCCGCAUGCCUACUAUGCU